GGGGCAGGUAAGGGCGAGAUUAAAUACCUAGACCUGUCUCUCAGGGGCUCCAUCAUCUUUGUUGUGCUGCUUCUCUUGAACUCCUGGUGUAGCCGUCAUCACUGCUGUACAGCAUUGAGGUCUUCGGUGGAUCCAACAAGACCCUUCAUAGACACAGUAAAAUUCCCUGCAGCCGUCAAUGACGAUGGCUGCAGUUCUUGACAUGUGGACUCUGCCUUGUGGCAGGUGGAGGAGAAAUAAAGAAACAAAGAAGUACCUACUCUGUCUCAGUAUAUUUCAUUGACAUUUCAUCACAGUCAUAAUGAGUAUUUCAUAAAGAUUAGAUUUUUAAUAUAG